AACGAACGCUGGCGGCGUGCUUAACACAUGCAAGUCGAACGGAAAGGCCCUGCUUUUGUGCGGUGCUCGGGUGGCGAACGGGUAAGUGACACGUGAGUAACCUACCCUUCACUUUGGGGUAACUUCAGGAAACUGGGGCUAAUACCAGAUAGGAUCUCCUGCUGCAUGGUGGGGGUUGGAAAGUUUCGGCGGUUGGGGAUGGACUCGCGGCUUAUCAGCUUGUUGGUUGGGUAGUGGCAUACCAAGGCUUUGAAGGGUAGCCGGCCUGAGAGGGGGAACGGCCACAUUAGGACUGAGAUACGGCCCAGACUGCUACGGGAGGCAGCGGUGGGGAAUAUUGCACAAUGGGCGGAAGCCUGAUGCAGCAACGCCGCGUGCGGGAUGACGGCUUUCGGGUUGUAAACCGCUUUCGCCUGUGACGAAGCGUGAGUGACGGUAAUGGGUAAAGAAGCACCGGCUAACUACGUG
rnacentral:rRNA from 1 species